UAGUAUAAGCGAACAAUUAGUGCUAAUGAGGUCAUUAUCUAAUGACCGCUGCAACUUUCUCUUAAUGACCGCUACACUUUGGCCGCUACAAUUUUGCUAUAUGUCAUACAAUAUAUAAGACCAAAGAAAAUUUAGGAAAAUAUUCAGUGUUGUUCUCGUGUUUGUUCUUGAAGAAGACGUCUUGGUGUAUUGUGAAAUUAAGAUGCCUGGAAAACGUGUAUCUUCUAUGCCAUUGAAAAAAUCAUCUCCGAAGCGUUUUAAAGCCCCAGGUGAUGGUGGAUGUGUAGAAGAAGAGGAAAUUAGUGCUUCGCAAGUUCCAUCGGUUCCGAAGUCGUCUUUGUCAGCAUUUCCAGCUGCUUCACCACCACCACCACCACCAUCGCAAUCCAUAGAAUUAGCGAGAGUAUCUGAAAUAGGUCUUAGCCAAGCUUGCAUGCUAUACAACAGCCGGUGCACGCUUAGAAUUAUAUAAGUAUUUAAAACCCCUUGGCAAAAGGGUAUUGUAUUUUGAUACCGAUAGUAUCAUUUUCGUUAAAAAAGAAGGGGAAUAUGAACCUCCUACUGGCGAUUUCCUAGGUGACCUCACUGACGAAAUGAUUGAAUAUGGCGAAGGUAGUUAUAUAACUGAAUUUGUCAGUGGGGGUCCUAAAAAUUAUGCCUACAAAUUUUGGAAUGAAAAUGAGCACAAAAUUCAAACUGUGUGUAAAGUCAAGGGGUUAAGUUUGCAUUAUCAAAAUGCUCAAUUAGUUAAUUUCGACAAAAUAAAAGACAUGCUGUGUAAUAACACCGACCAAACUGUUAAAUUGACCGAUCGCACAAUAAUUCGAAAUGAGACUUAUGAUGUUAUGACAAAAGAAACAACUAAGACGUAUCGUAUAAAUUAUACAAAACGACGACGUUUAGAUGAUGGUUCUUUUGACACCUUACCAUAUGGCUAUAGAGAUGUAUAAUAAUAUAAGAUGUAUUAUUUAAUCUUUUAAUAAAUAAAUAAAUCUAAUAAAUAUGAUUUCUGUGAUUUUAUUUUGAUUUAACCCAGAAUGUGUGUGUGUGUGUGUGUGUCGCGCCCGUCCCCGCGCCGCCGCCACCCCGUCCCGCGCCCGUUCCCGCGCCGCCGCCACCCCGUCCCGCGCCCGUUUCCGCGCCGCCGCCCCGUCGUCCGCGCCGCGCCCCGUCCGCGUCAUGCUGGUGAGUAACGAGAUAUAAAGAAAGAAAGAAAAAACAUGGAUCUUGCAAAGUCUUUAUUUAUUCAUGAAAUAUUUGUUAAACAUUUUGUUGCAUAGUUUGUCAUUAUUGUGAAAAUCUUUGUUAAAUAACUUUAGAAAAUCAUCAACAGAAUUGCCUAAUGCGUAGUUUAAAAGAAAUAAAGUACAGUAUUUGCCACAGACGGUUGAAGAAAAAUCUUGAAUUUGAGAAAUAUUGUAAGACCACAUCAUAGCAUUUUUUCUAAGAAAUUUUAAAAUAUUCGGAGGCGGCUGAUUUCCAAAACUAUCAAAGAAGUAUGCGAAACCAAAUUUAUCAAUGUAAACAGCCAUCCAAUGACUACCCGGGAGGUAAUCAGGGUCUCUGUUGAUAAUAACCAUAGAGGGUCUGGUGAUUAGGACAGGUAGAGUGUUAUACGCAGAAACAAGAACGUGGUGUCUUUUCUUCCGAGAGAUCAUCUCCAGACACGUUUUGAGUUGUAAAGUAUUCAUUGUACCAACUAGCCAAGUUUUGUACGUUUUGAACAGCGCACACCGAAUCGCUGAUUAUAUGAUUCACACAACAAUUCGUAUCAAAAUGUUCUCUCAAGUAACGAAGCGAUGGACACUCUAAAUCUUCAAUGUUUACAAUUUGACUUUUUGGUAAACGUUUCAAAAGUAGACGCUUCUUAUCUAUUCCUUUCACGUAUAUACACUUUGAAUUUUUCGUAGUUUCAUUCAAUAUUUCAGACAACUUUUCGUAGUCGUAAUUACCGCAGUUCCAAGAAAGCCCGUGAAAGUUAUUCGUCAACCAAUCGGCUUGCUUCUGAUAACGAUGCGGUAAGGUUGAAAGAUCAUCGGGUGGUUUAAACAAAAAGAUGUCUGGUGCGCUUUUGUUCGUAUUAAAUACAGCUAAUUCUUUUAUGGUUAAAGUUUCGGUACAAUUACCGUAAUUGAACCCUUGAAAAUCCACAAACACAACCAUUUCGGAUGACGGGUAAAAUGAAAGUAGCAAAUUUUUCAUUUGUAAUAGCAAUUUAUUUAUCACUUAUAUAAAUUUAUCAACUACUAUAAUCUACAAUUACAUUACGUUUUUUAUCAAUUUCUAUUACACUAUCAAAUUCACCAUACACUAAACAAUUGACAGUUUCUGUAAGAGCAGUGUUAAAACCAACUUCUAUUCGUAAACUUCCGUUCUUUAUCAAAUUCCAUGAAAGAGCAUUAUGCGAUGAUAAGUCAGGUGUCAAAUCAAAAACAGCUAUUGAAUAUCCAUCAGCAUAAUUAUCACGUGAAAUCCCAUUUCCAGUGUUUAGAAAAUGUAUACCAGUACCAGAAAAUAAUGUGUGGUACAUUGAAACAAAUUUCUUAUUUGGACCGAUAAAUGUAGGUUGUAAGGGUUUACUAGGAAUUUGGUUACCAUCCACGUACAAGGAUAGAUAGUUUAAACCAAAGUUUUCGAAAUUAAAUGGAUUUAAGGAAUAAUCACCGUUAAAUGCUUUAUUUGUCACAAAGCACAAUGCACAUCUUUUUGGAAGUUGGCCCAAAUAAACAUUAUCCAAUGAUUUUCCUUGUACUCCUUGCGGUAUAGUCAAAACCUUUAAUUCUGUUCGCGUAAUUGGAUAUUUUGCAGUUGAAAGCUCUAAAGCCUUUGCAUGCGCAAGUAAUACGCUUGGAUUUAUCCGAUUUCUUCUAAUCAUUAGAGUUGCAUCAGUAAUUUGAAUUUUUCCAUUAAGAUUAUUUGAUGACAUCAAUGCAAAACUAUCACGAGAACGUACAAAUUUUAAUCUCAUUUCUACACCGUUGAUUAAAAAUUUUUCUUGAUUAAAUAUAUCACAAUUUAAGUGACCAAUAAGAUCGACUUCUUUACUCGUCGACGUUAGUUUGAGUCUAUUGGCGAAUCCACUGUUCUCAUUGGUUACUACAUUCAUUUUGCCUGCCGUAUCGGCGUACCAUAAUCCACAAGUUAAAUGGGAAUUCUUCGCCCCUGAGUCAUAAUUUAAAAGUGUCUCCAAAUAACAUUUAUAAGCGUAUGUAUUAUUUGGUGGUGAAAUCAGUUUUUGAUUUAGGUAUACAUCAACUUGACUAAACAUUGAGUGGAGAAUAUUAUUAACUGGACCAAUUGUAUCUUCAGCGGUAUAAUUACUACCGUCAUCUUUGCAUAUUUUAAUACAAAGUGAAAGUAAAGUUUGCGAUAAAUCUAUAUAGUCUUCACCACCUGGUAUUACAAAUUCUAAAGGACUAUUUUCAGAUAUACUAGAUACAGUUUUGUAAUGAACCCAUUGACCGCUUUCGAUGCUUGUUUGAGUUGGCGGUAAAGCAAAAAGAUCCAAUUCACUUUUCGCGCACUCACAACUAUGAGGAUGUAAAAACGACAUUCUAGCUAAAGAUAUCUUGAUGUUUAAUAACUGAACUCGUUUUACACUUCUUUGCAGAACGACGUGAAGAACUAUUCUGACUUUUAUUUUGUACUAGCCUUCUUUUUAUAGAUCCAGAUCCUACCAAGUUGUCUAAUUUAUCUUGAGCUUUUCGUUUCAAAUUUUCAACUGACUCAUUUACACGUGUCUUGAAUGCAUCCUUUACAGGCACCUCAUUAACAAUGUCGCCAAGAAAAUUUGAACCAGUGCGUAGUGUUUCCUUACCAAUUGUUUUAACACCACUCUUUAUUAACGGCAUUACCGUACGAAAAAGUCCCCGUAAAAAACUACCAAUACCAUAACCCUUUUGGUAACUAAUUCCUUUGUAAAUAGCACCUACACCUGAACCAGCUUGAUUGAUGUAGUAAUCGUGAUAAUGACAUGAAGGCAUUACGAAAUUUUUUUAAAAUGAAGUUUAACGCACACUGUUCCAAACUGAAAUGGCACUUUCUCACCAGUUGCACUUCUUAUAUCAAUUUCAAUGUUUUCAAAUUCCCUUUUCAACAGAGGCACGUAAUGCGGAUGCGAAAAUAAUUGCGUAUGAUGUGUACCGUAAAUGUAGUGUUUAUUAUCGAUAACAACGAUUCGAAUUACUUUUGCCAUUAUAUCGCCCACCAAUUGUGGUUCAAUUAUAUCACUGUAUACGAAAAGUUGUGAAGGCAAACCCAACAUAAUGUUUGCUGGAUGUGUUGAAGUUUUACUCAGUACAUUUGUAUCCGGUUGAAAACCUAAUUGUAGACUUAAUGUCGGUGAAAAUGAUAGACUUGUCAGAUAUUUGCUACUGCUUGUUACAGUUACUCUUUUUGAACCAUCAUUUAAUCUGAACUCAACAUUAUCUUUUACUAAAACUCUUACCGAGUUUAGAGCAUCCACAAUAGAUUCGAUCGUUUCGUAGUUACCAGCUUCAAGCUUAGUCUUAUAUUUCGUCAUAAUUACAUCGUGUUCAAAUGUGAUCGUUUUCAUUUUAAGAUCGCGCAUGAAUUCUUUCGAAGACUUGUAUUUCCUUCUUCGAACCUGAUCAUCGAUCCAUGUCGCAAAACGGGGAUCUUUAAACAAUAUGUCAAUGGCUUUUUCACCUUUUUGCAUAAUCGCCGAUAAACUAAAUUCAAAAGAGCAGUAAAUAAUAUUUUCACCACUGUUGAUGGUUAAGAAGGAACACGGAUACUGUAUUUCCGAAAGUCCCACACACCAUUCACCAUCCAAAUGAACAGUUUUUGGAAGUUGUGUGCAAAAGUGCGUUGUUGUAUUUUCGGGAAAGUAAUUGGUUGAGCUGUUUGAUACCAAAGUUAAAUAAAAUUCGUUAUUCAUAUCGAUGUAAGGGAACUGCACGGAAUCCACGAGUUAAACUUUGAAGGAUAAUUUUUCCACUGCACAAAAAUUUCACAUUUACCUCUUUUAUAUCGCUUCUUCAAUACUUUUUCAAUGUGAAAUGUACUCUGGGGGUCGUACGUUACGCGCUGUAAUUCGGGGUGAUAGAAGACGCCCUCUAUUGGUUCAUCCAUUAAAUCGGAAAUUUUGUACACAACGGGUUGUCUCAUUAUAACAUCAGUUAUUUUGAAUAUUUCACCGCUCCAAUUACUCAUGUAGCCUUUUUCAAAUACGUGCUUGUACUUGGUGAUUCUGACGUAAUCUCCAACUUUGUACACAUUUUCGAGUUUGAUCGUUUUAAUAUUCUUCUUUCUCGUACUCAUAAUGUUAUCGUAUACUUGCGCAACGUUGUCAGGAUUUACCUCGUUAGGAGCCAUUUUAAUAGUACGAUGAUAAGAAUUAUUGUAAGAGUGCAUGAAUUCGGGUAAUACAUCAAUGUAUUGCAUAUUAUUUGCAAACGUAAAAUAUUUAUGCAUUUUUGUUUUUAAAGUUUUAUUGAACCUUUCUACCACAGCAGCUUUUACAUCAGGAUUAUUUGUUACAUAAUAAUUUAUAUCAUAUUGUUUAAACAAUUUUUGGACAUUUUUCGCUAGAAAUUCUUUUCCCUUGUCAGUCUGAAGAUUAACCGGAACACGCUCAUCAAAUAUUUCUUUAAAAGCUGCAGCCACUUCAUUUCCCGUCUUUGUGUAUAAAGGUUUAACCCAUGCAAACUUGGAAAAUACAUCGAUGACAGUUAAUAGGUAAUUUACACCUCGAUUAUGUUUUGCGAUGUUUCUCAUAUCUAUUAAAUCAGCUUGAAAUAAAUCGUCUAUGUUGGUUACAUGAUAACUAUUUCUAGGAAAUCGACGACGAACUUGCUUAUGUAAUGUAUAAGAUUCCACACCUUCUAGCCAUUUAUUAAUUUUUUUCUUAUGUAUAUUUGUAAACUUAGCUAAGUUGUUAGGACUCGAAAAACCAAGAGGGUCACGAGGUAUAAAAUAUCUUUCCUUUAUUUCAUCCAUUUUUGUCUACUUGCUUUCAUACGGCGACCAAGGAACUCUCAAGCGUUUUUGUUUUCUUGAUGACGAUCGCAUUGAUUUCUUCGUUAUUUGACUAUCCUCUUCUUCUUCUUCUUCUUCUGUGUCAAACUUUGACGACGAUAUUGGUUUUACUUUCACUUCGUUUUUUACUUCUUGCUUUUCAGCACCUUGUUCAUUUAUAUAUUUCAAACGUUUUGGAUUAAUUAUAAGAGUACGUGGAACGUUUAUUUUAUACAAAAUUUCCGCAAAAUUUUUCCAUCCGACAGGCUCGGCAUUUAACUUAUUACUACUCUUCAUAACAUCAGUGAUUAGAUCAAAUAUAUUGGAACCAGGAAUUGUGUUUCCAUCGUAGAUAACGUUUCCGGUUUCAUUCCAUGCAACUCCAUUGUGUGUUAAAUUGUUUAACAAAGCAUUCGCUUUAACUUGUAAGGGUCUUGGUAGGGAACUCAAAAUGUUUCGAGUAAUUCGUUCAGAUUGUUCUAAUUGAUUUUCUUUAGAAUAAAUCACAGGUAUGGUAACAGGUUCACGAGAACGACUUAUCAUUUUUAGAUAUCUUUGAAGCACUUGAUUAUACAAAAUCCAUUUUUCAUUAUCAUCAAUGUUUUUCGUAUCUAUGAUUCUUUUCAUUUCAUGAUCUAAAUCAUUUAGGGUGUUUGGCUGAGUGCUUUUGUUAUUAUGCAAACGUUCAAGUUCGGAUGAAUCAAUGAGUACCAUUUUUUUCGUAUGUUCCAUUAUUUAUUAAAUAAAUGACCCAACACACCCGAAAUUAUUGGAGCCAACAACAAUGGUAAGAAAGCACCUCCUUUUUGCACAAUUAGUUUCUUUUUUCUCUGGAGAGAUAAUUUACGAUUUACUAAAUUUCUCAGUAAUUUUUUAUGUUUCUUUAAUUUGCUCUUUUGAGAACCAUUUAAAGGAACUUUCCCUAAUAACGUAUUGUGAGCGCACUCGCAUAUACAAUGCACCAAGUUUUUAUCGGCAGAAUUAAGAAUUGAUUUACGAUAAACAGGUGUUGUUCUAUGCAAAAAUUUUAAUAACUCGGCGUUUCUUUCUAACGCUCGCGACAUCUCAACGACGACUGACGCAUAAACUACUUACUUUUAUAUUUAUAAUCUCUCUUAGGUAUGUAUGCAUAAGAAGGUUCUUCAUCAGGUAGAAUAUUUGUUCGAAUACGGAAUUCAUCUGGAGUAUCUUGUUUUAAAUCAAUCAACAAAUAACCAUGCGGUCUCAUUGUGGCAUCCUUAUAAGCUUCCUGGAUAAAUUUUAUAUUUUCAGGAAAAAUCUGUCUAGCUAAGAAAUUAAUUUGAGCUUUAUCACGAGGAUUUUUAAAAUAAACGAUAUAGUUCGCA